rnacentral:rRNA from 1 species
UACGUAGGGUGCAAGCGUUAAUCGGAAUUACUGGGCGUAAAGCGCGUGUAGGCGGUUCGGUAAGUCCGCUGUGAAAGUCGGGGGCUCAACCCUCGAAAGCCGGUGGAUACUGUCGGGCUAGAGUACGGAAGAGGCGAGUGGAAUUCCUGGUGUAGCGGUGAAAUGCGUAGAUAUCGAGAGGAACACCUGCGGCGAAGGCGGGUUGCUGGGCUGACACUGACGCUGAUGCGCGAAAGCUAGGGGAGCGAACGGGG